rfam:Ixodes scapularis strain Wikel colony gcontig_1108378826444, whole genome shotgun sequence.
CCAUCUAUGUCACUAGAUGAAUCUAAGGGUAUGAAAAAGAGCUACCCUGACAAUGUGACGAAAUACUCUUAAGCAUAGGGAAAAUCUCGUGAAAGCAAUUUCUUUCUAAUAAUCACAAUCAGAUAAGUUG